CGCUAGAGCGUCGGGCCUAUACCGAACCGUCUGGGCAAUACGAGCACCCCCGGUACCAUGCCCAGACGAGUAGGAGGGUCGCCGUGGUGAGCAUAGAAGCCCGAGGCGUGAGCCUGGGUGGAGCCGCCAUGGGUGCAGAUCUUGGUGGUAGUAGCAAAUAUUCA
rnacentral:rRNA from 1 species